rnacentral:misc_RNA from 1 species
CAGAGUCGUAAAAAACUCCCAAACCCAUGUGAACUUACCUUUGUUGCCUCGGCAGGACCUACGCUGUAGCCUGCCGGUGGACUACCCAACUCUUGUUAUUUUAUGGAAAUCUGAGCGUCUUAUUAAAUAAGUCA